rnacentral:rRNA from 1 species
UACGUAGGGUGCGAGCGUUGUCCGGAUUUAUUGGGCGUAAAGAGCUCGUAGGCGGUUUGUCGCGUCGGCCGUGAAAUCUCCACGCUUAACGUGGAGCGUGCGGUCGAUACGGGCAGACUAGAGUACUGCAGGGGAGACUGGAAUUCCUGGUGUAGCGGUGGAAUGCGCAGAUAUCAGGAGGAACACCGGUGGCGAAGGCGGGUCUCUGGGCAGUAACUGACGCUGAGGAGCGAAAGCGUGGGGGAGCGAACAGG